rnacentral:rRNA from 1 species
CGGUGUUUAACUGGCGUGAUGUGGGACGUCCUACCGGUGGGCUUAGCCUCGCGAGGGGCGGCCCAACUAAUAUCCCGUCGCGGUGCUCUUUACUGAGUGUCGAGUCGGGCCGGUACGUUUACUUUGAACAAAUUAGAGUGCUUAAAGCAGGCUAUCCUCGCCUGAAUACUGCGUGCAUGGAAUAAUGGAAUAGGACCUCGGUUCUAUUUUGUUGGUUUUCGGAACCCCGAGGUAAUGAUUAAUAGGGACAGAUGGGGGCAUUCGUAUUGCGACGUUAGAGGUGAAAUUCUUGGAUCGUCGCAAGACGGACAGAAGCGAAAGCAUUUGCCAAAAAUGUUUUCAUUAAUCAAGAACGAAAGUUAGAGGUUCGAAGGCGAUCAGAUACCGCCCUAGUUCUAACCAUAAACGAUGCCAGCUAGCGAUCCGCCGAAGUUCCUCCGAUGACUCGGCGGGCAGCUUCCGGGAAACCAAAGCUUUUGGGUUCCCGGGGGGAAGUAUGGUUGCAAAGCUGAAACUUAAAGGAAUUGACGGAAGGGCACCACCAGGAGUGGAGCCUGCGGCUUAAUUUGACUCAACACGGGAAACCUCACCAGGCCCAGACACCGGAAGGAUUGACAGAUUGAUAGCUCUUUCUUGAUUCGGUGGGUGGUGGUGCAUGGCCGUUCUUAGUUGGUGGAGCGAUUUGUCUGGUUAAUUCCGAUAACGAACGAGACUCUAGCCUGCUAAAUAGGCGUACCUUAUGGUAUCGCGAAGGCCCCCGGCUUCGGCCGGUGGGUUUUUACUACCAACGUACAAACAAAUCUUCUUAGAGGGACAGGCGG